AUGCAGCCAAGGGAUAUCUCAGUCUCCAUCUUCUGCUGCAAAAAAAAAAAAAAAGAUGUCUCUCAAGGGACAGCAUAUUGGAACACAAACAAGAACGUGAAGUGUUUUGAGUAUGGAUUCUUCCAUUCCAGUAAGGACUGGCUGUCAGCAGUUGUGUUUGAAGCACCACAAAGGCAUGGUGCUCUCUUUUUCAUAAAAUGGGAGUGUCAUAUCUCAGCACUGGGAGCUGUUACUUGA
rnacentral:lncRNA from 1 species